AUUAAAGUUGUUGCAGUUAAAAAGCUCGUAGUUGGACUUGUGUGCGCUGUCCGCGGGUGGCCUGCGCCCAAAAGGGCGUUUCGGUUCGGCCCCGGCGGCGCCUUGAAAUCUGCAGCUGGGGGGACGUUGGCCUUAACUGGUCGGCGACCGCACGCCGGCUGCUCGGUUACUGUGAGAAAAUUAGAGUGUUCAAGGCAGGCAUUGGGUGCAAUUGAAUACAUUAGCAUGGAAUAAUAAAAUAUGGCUCCUGCCGUAUUUUGUUGGUUUUGACUGGUGGGAGUAAUGAUUGAUAGGGACGGUUGGGGGUGCUAGUAUUGAGCGGCCGGAGGUGAAAUUCAUGGAUUCGCUCAAGACUAACUUAUGCGAAAGCAUUCACCAAGGACGUCCUCUUUAAUCAAGAACGAAAGUUGGGGGAUCGAAGACGAUCAGAUACCGUCGUAGUCUCAACCAUAAACUAUGUCGACUUGGGAUCGGCGGUAGUUUUUUCAUUAAGACACUGUCGGGACCACGGGAGAAAUCAAAGUGUCUGGACUCUGGGGGAAGUAUGGUCGCAAGGCUGAAACUUGAAGGAAUUGACGGAAGGGCACCACCAGGAGUGGAGCCUGCGGCUUAAUUUGACCCAACACGGGGAAACUUACCAGGUCCAGAGAUAUAGAGGAUUGACAUAUUGAAGCUCUUUCUUGAUCACUUCGGUGGUGGUGCAUGGCCGUUCUUAGUUGGUGGAGUGAUUUGUCUGGUUAAUUCCGUUAACGAACGAGACCUCAGCCUGCUAGUGUAGUCGGCUGGAUUGCCUUUGGCGAUCCGUGAUUCCGACUUCUUAGAGGGACAAUCGACGCGCAGUCGAUGGAAGUUUGAGGCAAUAACAGGUCUGUGAUGCCCUUAGAUGUUCUGGGCCGCACGCGCGCUACACUGCUGGGCUCAGCGAGUUUUACUUGGCCGAGAGGCCCGGUUAAUCUUGUGAAAUCCCAGCGUGCUUGGGCUCGCCUCCUGCAACUGGAGGCGCCAACGAGGAAUUCCUAGUAGACGCAGGUCAUCAACCUGCAUCGAUUACGUCCCUGCCCUUUGUACACACCGCCCGUCGUUCCAUAAGAGUGAGGCAUCCGGUGAAUUCUCGGGAGAGCCUGGGCGUGGCCAGCAAUGGUCUGCUCGGGUUUGAACUUGCAUAAACUUGGUGCCUAUGAUUAGGG
rnacentral:rRNA from 1 species